rnacentral:misc_RNA from 1 species
GCUGCCCUCAAGCCCGGCUUGUGUGUUGGGUCGUCGUCCCCCCCGGGGGACGGGCCCGAAAGGCAGCGGCGGCACCGUGUCCGGUCCUCGAGCGUAUGGGGCUUUGUCACCCGCUCGAUUAGGG